AACGAACGCUGGCGGCAGGCCUAACACAUGCAAGUCGAACGCUCCCUUCGGGGAGAGUGGCAGACGGGUGAGUAACACGUGGGAAUCUUCCUGUUGGUUCGGAAUAGCUCAGGGAAACUUGGGGUAAUACCGGAUAAGCCCGAAAGGGGAAAGAUUUAUCGCCGACAGAUGAGCCCGCGUCUGAUUAGCUUGUUGGUGAGGUAACGGCUCACCAAGGCGACGAUCAGUAGCUGGUCUGAGAGGAUGAUCAGCCACACUGGGACUGAGACACGGCCCAGACUCCUACGGGAGGCAGCAGUGGGGAAUAUUGGACAAUGGGCGCAAGCCUGAUCCAGCCAUGCCGCGUGAGUGACGAAGGUCUUCGGAUUGUAAAGCUCUUUUGGCGGGGACGAUAAUGACGGUACCCGCAGAAUAAGCCCCGGCUAACUUCGUGCCAGCCGCCGCGGUAAU
rnacentral:rRNA from 1 species